GCGCGGGGCCGCCGGCCGCCGCCGGAGGUAAACAGUGCAGCGGGGGGGCGGAGCGGCCGCGGUGCCGUGUCAUUUCCUGCAGCUCGGCCUCCUCGUGCCGGCCGAUGAGCACGCGGCGCCACCUGGUGGCGAGAUCCGGCCGCUGCGGGUCGCGGUCCCGGCGGGAAGCGGCGCAGCGGGCAGCACGAGCAGGUGACACGGCCCAGGGGAGCGGGAAGGACCUCGGCUCACUUCCAGUUUGCACAGGAUGGUUACUAACUGAAGCAUGAGAACGAUGGCAGAAUGAUUGUCCUGUAUAUCUCAAAAACAGAGGUGCAAAAUGUGUCUCCACCCUGUUUGCCUUGGUCCGUUGUAGAAGUGCACAAGAGAUGCCACUGUGAGGAUCCAUGCACCCUGCAGAGCAGGCAAGAAAACAAGCAUUUCCUGUCUGCUUGUGCUCCUUGGGAUGUUCCUAGGCGUGUUUUCUAUGACAGUAUAGCACACAGGGAAAUCUGUGUAGAAGAGAAUUCACAUUAUUCUGCUGAAUUCCACAGCAUUUGGACACGCCAUCUCUGUUAUUUUCCAGGGUUGUUUUGUAGUGUUUUUAUUUCAGUGAUGUAA
rnacentral:lncRNA from 1 species